rnacentral:misc_RNA from 1 species
CCGAGUUAGGGUCCCCUGGGCCCGACCUCCCAACCCUUUGUCUAAAAUACCGCUUGUUGCUUCGGCGGGCCCGUCUUCACCGACCGCCGGGGGACUACCAUGUACCCCCUGGCCCGCGCCCGUCGACAGCCCCAACCACAAAAUUCUGAACAAAACGUGUCUAUAUCUGAGUACACAUUGCAAAUAAAGCAA